UACGGGGGGGGCAAGCGUUGUUCGGAAUUACUGGGCGUAAAGGGUUCGUAGGUGGCUAACUAAGUCAGACGUGAAAUCCCUCAGCUCAACUGGGGAACUGCGUCUGAUACUGGUCGGCUUGAGUGCAGGAGAGGAACGCGGAAUUCCAGGUGUAGCGGUGAAAUGCGUAGAUAUCUGGAGGAACACCGGUGGCGAAGGCGGCGUUCUGGACUGCAACUGACGCUGAGACGCGAAAGCGUGGGGAGCAAACAGG
rnacentral:rRNA from 1 species